GGGACACUUCUGUACGUUUGGUGUAUUUUCUUCAGUUACAAGUGUCCAUAUGGAUAAGGAAACCUGCGACGUGUUGGCGAAUUGAGGAUUCACCGAUAAAAUCCCAUAAUUUUAUUGCGAAAAAAUCGACCAUGACCGUCUUUCAAGAUUUGAUUGCACCCAGCCUAAUCCAAUAAUUGACAAAACAUUUACUUCAGAAGAAAAACGAACGAAUUUUGUAUCUAAAUUAAGCCUCUAUCAAGGCCUAAUUUUUAAUGAUAUUCAGAUCCAAGUGGAAUCUGAGGACGCAGAAAUGGAUGAACAAACUUGUACAAAGGAAUGUGAAAAUAAUCAACCUGAAUCUGCUCGCCUUUUCUUAAAAGACCGCUAAGUAUAAAAGAAGAAAUCGGUAGUCAUUCUGCCAAAGACACUCGAAUAGAAUCUUCGAGCGAUAAUAGCUUUUACGAUUUGACUCGUCCUCUAAAGAAAACAAAUACUGGGGAGGGAAUUUGAAUAAAUCGGCGAAAUACGGUAUUCUCAACUAAAGUACGAAACGAGAUAGUCGAUAUAAUUAUUCGAUCUUUAAUGGAAAUUAAGAUACCAUCUAGUGGUGAUAAAAUCGAAUUACCGAGACUCGAGAAUUAUCAUUCGGAUCUUUUAACACGUAAAUUUUGUGAAUUUUUUACAAAAGAAGAUCCACGAAUCUAUUAUAUUUCCACCGAAGACAAACGGUAAGGACCAACCGAUAUCCAGGGGAAAGUUUGUAGACAAGUACAGAAACUGGCGUACUUUCCAAGCAAAAUUAGAAUUGAUCAUCACUAAAAAAAUGUGACGGUCGGGAUGAUAAUGAAAAUGGAGAAAAUUUUACACAUGAGAUUAGAUUUUUUUUUUUAACCUUUUUUAAGAUAACUUGUUGAAUGUUUUAUGAAAUUACCCCAUUCAUUUGCGCAACGAAUAAUGAAGCUCCUUCAAGUGAACACAUCUUGUGGCUACUAAAUAAUGACUCUCCAUGGGGAAGUGUUUUGAACCAUUGGCUAUUGAGUAUUGAGGAAAGAUUGCAUGAAUUCAGGCAUAUUCUAGGAAACGUUCAGGAUAUAUUUAACUAGUAUCCUGUAUUAAAACAGCCCAGUGGUCAUGAAUUGAUUGAUAUUGACUUCGCGUAUGAGAAGGGUAGAGAAGGAACAAUUUAUAUUCAGUGGCCAGAUUUAUCUAUCAAACUAUAUGAAUUAAUGCAGAAUUAAAUAAAAGACCCAACAUCUAGGACCUUGUUGGAAACUCUUGCUACAACCGAUAUUCCCGACGAUGAAUUGAACCUAAAAUUGCUGCUGCUCUUGCCAGCUCUGUGCCCGCCUGUUGUAAAAAUUAUAAAAAAAGGUUCAAAGUCAACAUCGA